rnacentral:rRNA from 3 species
UCUAACAUGUGCGCGAGUCAUUGGGACUGCAAAGCCUAAAGGCGCAAUGAAAGUGAAGGUCGUACCUAGCGUCGACCGAGGGAGGAUGGCUCGCGUCACGAUGCGAGUCCGCACUCCCGGGGCGUCUCGUGCUCAUUGCGAGCAGAGGCGCACCCAGAGCGUACACGUUGGGACCCGAAAGAUGGUGAACUAUGCCUGGUCAGGACGAAGUCAGGGGAAACCCUGAUGGAGGUCCGUAGCGAUUCUGACGUGCAAAUCGAUCGUCGGAACUGGGUAUAGGGGCGAAAGACUAAUCGAACCAUCUAGUAGCUGGUUCCCUCCGAAGUUUCCCUCAGGAUAGCUGGCACUCGCUUGAGCGAGUCUCAUCUGGUAAAGCGAAUGAUUAGAGGCCUUGGGGCCGAAACGACCUCAACCUAUUCUCAAACUUUAAAUGGGUGAGAUCUCUGGCUUGCUUGAACGUUGAAGCCACGAGAUAUCAUGGAUCAGAGUGCCAAGUGGGCCAAUUUU